GCGGGAGUAGCUCAGUUGGUAGAGCGUCAGCCUUCCAAGCUGAACGUCGCCGGUUCGAAUCCGGUCUCCCGCUCCA
rnacentral:tRNA from 3 species